ensembl:lncRNA novel transcript
AAACUAAAAGCUCUUAGAAAUCCUAUUGCAAUAAAAUGGUUUAUUUGGUUUAUUCCUGGAUUUCUUAAAUAUAGUUAGUUAAUUAUGAUUUUGUUCACUGAAUAACCAAUGUUAUCUUCCUAAAUAGAUGUAUUUUGUAAAUAAAAUUUAUGCAUCACUAUUGGAAUCGAUAGACAUUACUAUUAGAAUCAAUAGAGAAACUGAGGAUUUUAAAGACAUGAAGGGAUAUGAUCAAAUCUAAUAUAAUUUUCUUCCUUGUAAUAGGAUCAUAUUCAGGAUAUCACCAUCUAUUUAUUGAGCAUCUACACUGCACAUAGCUCCGUGAUGAGCAUAAUUGGGAAUAAAGCAGUAGGAUAAGUCACAGACCUUGUUCACACAGAGCUAAUUGGAGAGAUAAAUUUAACACACUGAGAUAAUUAGGUGAUGUGACCUACCACAUAUGACAGUAUGUAAAGGAAGAGGCAAAGUGUGGGGAAGCUGUCAAUUGACAUUCAGAAAAGAGAAAAGGUCAAGGAAGUUCAGAUGGCUGGAGAAAUCAAUGUGCAAGAAGUUGAGCUUGUUUUUUUAGGAUUAGUUCCCCAUUGAGAAGAGGGCAUUUGUGAAACAAUGAUUGUUCACAUAGGUUAUUGCAGUAGUCUAUGUCUACUCUGUCUCCAAUCUUCUUCUCCGUCAAUUUUUGGAAAUCUCUAUUAUCAAGUAAACAUCCUAAAACAUCACAUCCUAGAAUGGCCAAGAUCCUAAAAUGGCCUCCUAAUCAUGUAAAUUUCUGUGGAUUUAAAACAAAUCCACAGAAAUAUACAUUUUACGAGGAUACAUAUCCAAGAAUAUUUAUUUUUGCUUAUUUGAAUUUUGCUCUUUGUAGUCGUUUUUAAUUUGGUUCAGUAUAUAAUUGUAGAGUUUGUGGGUGUUUCAGGUUUUCCUGGAGCAUAUAUCCUACUCAAAAGAAACUUCUAGGCUGGUUUUAAGGUCGAUGAUGGAGAAGAAUGGCCUUGUUAUAUUAAUCAAUGACCUCCAUGCCAAUGUAAUUCACCCUAGCUUACUCAUCCAAAUCCUCUCCCUUUCCUUUUGUCAAAAUAAGAUUCUCUCCUUCAAUGGCCUUUGCUGAAGACACUCAGAAAUGUCCUUCUUCCUAUUAGUACCUAACUACAGACACUAUAUUUAUCCUUAGGUUCUCAUCACAGUAUUGGGCACAGAGAUCAGAUGUUAAACCCCCAGGAGUUAAGCAGCCUUCUCAUAAAAGUGGCAAAGUGUGUUGAGUGAGUUAUGUUACAAAUAAAGAAAAUAGUCCUAAAAGGUUAAUAUGUUGGAGAUGAAAAAGAAUCAAGCUAGUUCAACAUCUAUAUUGUCUUUAGAUAACAAUGGCUAUUGAGGGGGUGGGAAACGAAUAAAAUAGUAACUCAAUUCCAAGUAAGCAUUUAUUUGUCAUGUUUAUUGAACACGGAAAUGAUUGAGUACUUUGAGGAAAAUAAAGAUUUAUCUGACACAGUCCUUAGAUUGUAAUCCUUUAAGUUACAGUGACCUGUUUAGUGUCAUCCUCUGUAAAAGAAACUUGCUCUCAAACUGGACUCCACAGAUGCUAACAGUUGGUGAGGCUAACAAUCAUGAAUGAAGAGAAAAAUCAGCACACGUUGCCACAGAUCUUUCAUCAUCACUAUCACUGACAUCACUUUAUCUUACUUCCCAAUAUUUUUUUGUUUGAUGUAUCAAGGUAUCAAGUAAACCACAGUUGAAGGAAACGUUUUUGUUUGGCUUAACAACAAUUAGCCCAACAUUUUUCAGAAAUCUCUUCUAGCUUGUAAGUAUGAAUAUCUUCUAUUCACUCAAAAAGAUGCACAUUUUAAUAUGACCACAUUUUCUGUGACCAAAAUAAAUAAGAAAAUUGGAAAAUAAUUUUGAAGUUUGUUAAAUGGAGUAAAGACAAUACUGGAAUUUUUUUCUCAAUAAAAAGAAUGUAGAAUCUUUGUUCUAUAACAAUUUGUCUAUCUCAUCAGGAAGAACAUUUACAGGAAUGCAGGUGUUUUGCACUGAGUUGUCACAGCUACUGUAUGACUGACCUGUAAACCUGCAAGAAAUAUUUAACAAUCUUGUCAAUGUUUGCAGUGGGAAAAGGCAUUUUCAUGUUUUUAUGUUUCUUACUACUUGAGUUGUUCCUGAAAGUCCCAUGUUGAAUUGAUGAAGUACUAGACUAUUAUAGCCUAUCAAAUAUGUAAGUUAGGCUCAUAUUAUUUGUAAAUUUGUACAUUAUAAUAUUUGGGCAUAUUCUACAUUAAAGAAUGUAGAAACCAAUUUUUCUAGCAAUAGGGUGGUUUUAUAAUCACCAUGAUGAUUGCAACCAAUGAUGCUUUUGUAAUCACACUGCAACAAGAUCACUCUCUUCUCUUUUAUCCAAUGCGGAUAAUGUCAAAGGAUGGCAUACACUCUGCACCAAAUUCCUUAAUAAGGCAUUAUAAACACUCUCACAAAUGUUCUUGUGGGAUAAUGAUGAAGAGGUCCUCAAGAUUGUUUUCUAAGAUUCGUACUCCCUAUUUAGAAAGAGACGUAUACAUAAGAUCAUUAAAUCAAUUUGCCACACUGUACCCCACCAACUCAUCACUAAAAUCAAGCCUGCUAAAAUCCCUCUGAUCAAUUAAGGGAGAAUGUGGUAACCAACAUGAAGUUAAGUGAUUUGGGAAGGUCUCUUCUAACUACCCAGCUCACUUAUAACACAAACGUUCAUGAAAUGGCCAUAUUGAAAGAUGAAGGGUCUUCUCCGGGCCUUCGUGAAAGAACCUAAUAAGGAUAAGUAAUAACUUUCCUGGAUCCCACUCUGAAAUUCUUCCUUGUUCACUGUUUCCGAGUAUUUCCUUUAUGGCCUAGCCUGUUGACUACUCCCUCAUGGGCUGACCUUCUCUGAUGCCAUGCUUUGACUCACGCAUUCUAUUUUGCUUCCCACUUGAAGGUUGGAUGGUCCAGUUCUUUAAAAGAAUUAUUGGCUUCUUCUUGGGUGACCCAUUGGAUAUAGAAAUUGGUCUUUGAGUUUAAAAGAGAUUAUGAAUCUGUGCUUGUCCUCAACUAUCGGGGCAAAAUUAUGUUUCCUGAAUACACCUGGAAAGAAAAGAAGAAAUGUUUCUCAGGCAAUGAUACCAGGAGAUAAUAGACUAUUAAAUUAUCAUUCAUAGAAGGGGAUUUAGCAAACAUGUGAACUCAUCCUCUCCUUACACACUUGGGGCUGAAAGAC